rnacentral:rRNA from 1 species
CCCUUAGAUGUUCUGGGCCGCACGCGCGCUACACUGAACAGUUCAACAAGUCUUAACCUUGGCCGAUAGGUCUGGGUAAUCUUUGAACGCUGUUCGUGAUUGGGAUAGACCUUUGCAAUUAUGGGUCUUCAACGAGGAAUUCCUAGUAAACGCAUGUCAUCAGCUUGCAUUGAUUACGUCCCUGCCCUUUGUACACACCGCCCGUCGCACCUACCGAUUGAAUGGUCCGGUGAAAUCUCGGGACGGCGGCUUGGUCGCUUGCGUCCGACUGCUGAAACUUGAUUAAACCAUAUCAUUUAGAGGAAGGUGAANUCGUAACA